rnacentral:rRNA from 1 species
UACGGAGGGUGCAAGCGUUAUCCGGAUUCACUGGGUUUAAAGGGUGCGUAGGUGGGCAGGUAAGUCCGUGGUGAAAUCUCUGAGCUUAACUCAGAAACUGCCAUGGAUACUAUUUGUCUUGAAUAUUGUGGAGGUAAGCGGAAUAUGUCAUGUAGCGGUGAAAUGCUUAGAUAUGACAUAGAACACCAAUUGCGGAGGCAGCUCACUACACGAAUAUUGACACUGAGGCACGAAAGCGUGGGGAUCAAACAGG